rnacentral:rRNA from 1 species
GAUGAACGCUGGCGGCGUGCCUAAUACAUGCAAGUCGAGCGAACAGACGAGGAGCUUGCUCCUCUGACGUUAGCGGCGGACGGGUGAGUAACACGUGGAUAACCUACCUAUAAGACUGGGAUAACUUCGGGAAACCGGAGCUAAUACCGGAUAAUAUAUUGAACCGCAUGGUUCAAUAGUGAAAGACGGUUUUGCUGUCACUUAUAGAUGGAUCCGCGCCGCAUUAGCUAGUUUGUAAGGUAACGGCUUACCAAGGCAACGAUGCGUAGCCGACCUGAGAGGGUGAUCGGCCACACUGGAACUGAGACACGGCCCAGACUCCUACGGGAGGCAGCAGUAGGGAAUCUUCCGCAAUGGGCGAAAGCCUGACGGAGCAACGCCGCGUGAGUGAUGAAGGUCUUCGGAUCGUAAAACUCUGUUAUUAGGGAAGAACAAAUGUGUAAGUAACUAUGCACGUCUUGACGGUACCUAAUCAGAAAGCCACGGCUAACUACGUG